rnacentral:rRNA from 1 species
UACGUAGGGGGCAAGCGUUGUCCGGAAUCAUUGGGCGUAAAGCGCACGUAGGCGGCCCGGUAAGUCCGUUGUGAAAGUCAGAGGCUCAACCUCUGGAGGCCAAUGGAUACUGCCGGGCUAGAGUCCGGAAGAGGCGAGUGGAAUCCUGGUGUAGCGGUGGAAUGCGCAGAUAUCAGGAGGAACACCAAUGGCGAAGGCAGCUCGCUGGGACGGACUGACGCUGAGGUGCGAAAGCGUGGGGAGCGAACAGG